rnacentral:lncRNA from 1 species
GGGGAGUCGAUAAUCUCGUCUACACAUCUUGAGGGUAGUUGCAUAGACCAUGGAGUAGUAUUUUAAUCUGCCACCCAAAAUUCAAUUCAUGGAGCUCGAUAAUGUACUAGUCAAGUUUAUACACAAAAGAGAAAGGGGAAGAUAAUGAAUGAUUUUGAGUAAAUGUGACAGAGCCUACAUGACGUAGACACAGAACAAAGCUUAUCAUAUUUAUAGUCAUCAUAUUACGAAGAAUCUUAUAGGCAAUAGUAGUAUGGUGAUAGUUAAUUAUUUUUUUCCGAGCAAUAGUAUGGUGAUUGAUGUUAUUCGUGCUCCACACUAAUACAUGUCGUAAUCGUCCUUGUCUCAUGAGUUAUCUUGGACAUAUGUGGAUUAUGAUAAUCAGACUACAAUCAUCACCAUAUUGAUGCACCAAUGACAUAUGAUACAUCGAUAUACUAUGUCAUAGGAUCAAUUUUAAGA